rnacentral:lncRNA from 1 species
CCGGAGGCCUCUCCAUUACUGCAAGGGGUGGCACCAUGCUGUUGGCAGGAUCUUCAGGAUCAAAGGGCAAAGGGUAUCCACGACAUAGCACCAAGUUGACACUCUGACCAAUAGGAACAGACUGGAAGAGUUUGACUACAUCUGCGUGAGUAUGUCCAAGGACACAAACUUCAUUAAUAUAGACAAUCACAUCACCUGUUUCCAUUUUCCCAUCUUGUGCUGCAGGCCCAUCAGGAAUUACACUCUUCACCUGAAGAAACUCAUCUGGCUCAUCCCCACCAAUGAUGGUAAAUCCAAAACCCAUGUUGCUUUUCUUAAGAGUGGUGCUGAG